rnacentral:rRNA from 1 species
UGAAAGAUGGACUCGCGUCCCAUUAGCUAGUUGGUAGGGUAAUGGCCUACCAAGGCGACGAUGGGUAGCCGGCCUGAGAGGGUGGCCGGCCACACUGGGACUGAGACACGGCCCAGACUCCUACGGGAGGCAGCAGUGGGGAAUUUUGCGCAAUGCUCGUAAGAGUGACGCAGCGACGCCGCGUGAAUGACGAAGGCCUUCGGGUCGUAAAGUUCUUUCGACAGGGAAGAAAAUGCCUAUAAGUAACUGUGUAUGUAUUGACGGUACCUGUAUAAGCAGCCCCGGCUAACUCCGUGCCAGCAGCCGCGGUAAUACGGAGGGGGCGAGCGUUGUUCGGAGUGACUGGGCGUAAAGAGCACGUAGGCGGUGUUGUAAGUCAUUAGUCAAAGACUAGAGCUCAACUUUAGUAAGGCUAGUGAUACUAUAAUACUAGAGUAUCAGAGAGGAUUGCAGAAUUCCUGGUGUAGCGGUGAAAUGCGUAGAUAUCAGGAGGAAUACCGUUAGCGAAGGCGGCAAUCUGGCUGGAAACUGACGCUGAGGUGCGAAAGCGUGGGUAGCAAACAGCAUUAGAUACCCUGGUAGUCCACGCUGUAAACGAUGGAUGCUAGGUGU